rnacentral:ncRNA from 1 species
CUGACCGUGACGCAUGGGUGGACGUUUUCAUAAAAAAACGAGCCUGUUCCCCGGAAUACCCGGGGAUGCGUCAAUGUCAG